UACUCUGACAAGCAAACUGCUGGAAAACAGGUAUACACUGAUGGACCAGCGUACGAUCGUACCCCGUGGCCCACGAUACAGUAACGACCGGGCGACGGCGAGUUUGCCUCGGAGGAGCUGGACGCACGGAACAAAUCUGAAAGGAUUUACCUGGACGGCUGGACAGAAAAGACGAUUUGGAGGGCAGGAGUAGGCCACAACACUCCAGAAGCAAUUCGAUUCCUCUCCGUGUUCUUGAUUCCGGCGACUCACCCGGCGGUUGGGCGUGCAGUGCAGGCGACUGGGCGAACGGUGGCGGGACCUUUGACCUGCAACAGCUAGCGGCAACCCCCCAACGACGGCUAUGGGAUUUCGGUAAGUGAAUGAGAUUUACUCUGAUUCGAAACUGAGGAUGUCAAAUUUGUCCCGGAUUGCGAGCGGGAUGAUUUCUGUUUGUCAUUGUAUUGUGGCAAAUGUAUAAGGGCACCAACGAUGCUUCCGCAAGCAGUGAUGCAGCGGCGGAAGAUGGUGCGUGCAGCCAUGUCGGGUCAUUGGAACCUGAUGCAUCCGUGCAGUAGCUGCUGCCCGCGGCGGAGAUGGUGAAGGCAGGCUGAUUGACUCAGCGCAGUGCAAUGUGAAUAAGACUGAAGCAAGAGGGUACGGGUGGGUCAAGGACCGCCAGACUGGGCAUGGUGUCCUUCGAGUUCCCUUCAGAAGUCGAUAUGUCUACGCAGAAAAGUUAGGCCACAAUGUCAUAAAUCCUUGCCGUGGUACAAGGUAUGGUGCGCGUGCUCUUUUAAAAAAUAUCUGUUUUUGCACGAGCGGACUAGGCCUUACGAGCAGAUGGAAGGGCUCCAGGAAAGACAACAUCCGUUGCUUGUAGGCUUUGUUAGGCAGGCAAGAUGUCAGAUCAUCUAUAUUUGAGGGUUUUUAUCUAGACAGCGGGGCAUGCACGAAACAUAUGAGUGGGUGGAUAAUCCACAGGGACAUUGUGUUCCGCAGGGAUGCCAGAGGUUAAGAGAGCUGAUUGGUGAGGAAGUUGGAGCAAGGAAACAGGACGCCGUGAUCCAAGUGAUCUCGGAGAUGAAUGUGCCUCUUGGUGAGGCCAGUCUGAAUGAGGAACACAAAGCAACUAUCCUAGAUGAUAUUAUGGAAGGUGUGGGGGCACAGAAAAAAGAACUGCUGCAGAAACUUGUGGCGUGUUUAUACCCAUCUAGAGCUGAUGGUGAUACACGAGAUGUUCAUGCCAGAUGGGGAUCAUCAGGGCAGAGAGGGCCAACAAAUGCUGCAGGUAGCAGCAGGGCUGCUGCAAGGCCAGGAUGUUCGGCUAAUUUGCAGUCAGACGAAAGGAAGCAGCCCAUGGAGGAGGCAGAAGAAGAUGUUUGCAUGCGUGGUGAACAUGACGCAGAAGAAGUGAUCCUAGGAUAAGAUGAUUAGUUGAUUACAGCUUCAUCCUACUAGGAUGUUCAAAUAACCAUCAAGCGCUGGGUGGCCCUGUUGGAUGGGAUGCACAUGGAGAGGCAAUGGCUGCCAAUGCAAACGCAGGGGUUCCAGCUAUGGUCGUCGAUGUUGUCGUGGCCACCGCCGUAGCCAUGGCUCGGGUAGCCCAAGUCACCCCCGCUCUGCGCCGUGGGUCAAACCCCGAAGCGCCGAUGGAUCUCGUAGAUUGGGAGGGAGGAGAAAUCGGCAGCGGUGGAUCUCGUCGUUCCACGCGAGGGCACCCACCGCGAGUUGAGCAGCCAACCUCCGGGCAGGUUGACGUUCGUCCACGGCACUGGGCGCUCUUCCUCGUACAACUUGCGAUCAUAGCCAAUGGGGACGUAACGUUGGUCCCUCUCCUUUCGGCGGCUUCCACGCAACGAGCCCACCUCGUGGUCGUUCUUCAUCCUCCAAAAUGGCUAGGACUUGCCCGUGGCGGCGCUUGGUCUAUAGUCCGUGGAGGUGAACAUGGGGGAGGUGGCAAUGGCGUGGAUGAAAAUGUGCGCGGUCACUCGCCUCAAAAGGCAUGGGUGCACGCCUUCCCUUCAAUGCCUGACGCGGAAGUCCAACGCUGCCCACUAGCAAUAGCGCAUAGAAGCCGAAGUGGGGACCACUAACGCAGCGCGAAGGACACAUCAACACCGCCCGCCAGUACUUUGUGUGGAGAAGGUGAAGCGGGCACGGGGCACUGAUAGGUGGGCCCACGGAACAUGACACGAACACGGGCAGUCCCUACCGCGUCUGCAGCUGUGUCCGCGGUGACGCAUUCGCAGCCUAAAUUUAGGUUAAGGGCAUCUCCAACGGGGCGACGCAAAUCGGUGUCCACGUGCGUCUGUUUGCGUCGCGCGGCGGACGCGAAAAAGACCGUUUUUGUCCACGCGUCCGUUUGUACCCGGGGGUGCCUCCAGCGGCCCGACGCAUUUCCGCGUCGGCAUAUGAUGUUUGAAAACAACAAAAUAAAGAGUUUCAACGAAGUCAUAGCUAUUA